GAUGAACGCUAGCUACAGGCUUAACACAUGCAAGUCGAGGGACCGGCGCACGGGUGAGUAACACAUAUCCAACCUGCCCUUUACUCGGGGAUAGCCUUUCGAAAGAAAGAUUAAUACCCGAUAUAAAGGAUGGGGAUGCGUUCCAUUAGUUUGUUGGUGAGGUAACGGCUAACAAAGCCUUCGAUGGAUAGGGGUUCUGAGAGGAAGGUCCACCACAUUGGAACUGAGACACGGUCCAAACUCGUACGGGAGGCAGCAGUGAGGAAUAUUGGUCAAGGGGCGCUAGCCUGAACCAGCCAAGUAGCGGGAAGGAGGAAGGCUUAGGAGUCGUAAAGUUCUGUUAUAUAAGAAGAUGUAUUAGAUGAAUAAGGAUCGGCUAACUCCGUGCCAGCAGCCGCGGUAAUUC
rnacentral:rRNA from 1 species